rnacentral:rRNA from 1 species
UACAGAGGGGGCAAGCGUUGUUCGGAAUUACUGGGCGUAAAGGGCGCGUAGGCGGCCCGCUAAGUCGAACGUGAAAUCCCCAGGCUCAACCUGGGAACUGCGUCCGAUACUGGCAGGCUUGAAUCCGGGAGAGGGAUGUGGAAUUCCAGGUGUAGCGGUGAAAUGCGUAGAGAUCCGGAGGAACACCAGAGGCGAAGGCGGCCCACUGGGCUGCACCUGACGCUGAACCGCGAAAGCCAGGGGAGCGAACGGG